rnacentral:misc_RNA from 1 species
UUGUCAUUGCAGGUUUUUUACUGCAAAGUUUACAAGGAGUAGGUGCUUCUCAUAACUAAAUGUAGCAAUGCCAUGGUUCGUAUAUUAAGAGUCAGUUCAGGCAAUUGCUGUCUUUAGAUAAACAUCUAUAUAUAUCGUAGGUAUUGACUUGUGCACAAAAAAUAAACCUGUGAAAUUGUUUAGCACAGUCAAUACAUCGCAAAAUUAAAAAUCAGUGACAGUUUCAAAACAAACACCGCCCCCCCCAAGAAAAUUCAGGAGAACAAGAAAAAGAACCACUG